UUCGCGAUGGAUCUGAAGCUAACUACCUUGCCCCUGCUCUGACUAUUUCACACCCCCGUUUCUCCUCUCAGCCCCAACUUCUAGUCCAAUUCGUGUCGGUGUCGCGCGAUUUCGAUCGCCGGAUCCCUCCCCGGCGUUGGGGUCGUCGCGCCGGCCUCUUCACCGCCAGCCUCUGCUGGUGCUGGACUGGCGCGGCGCGUAGAUCCGUCCUCGGGAUCGGGUGGAUUUCUUCUUCUGUCGGUUCUUCUACUUCAGCACGAAAGAUCAGUCUAGCGAAGGUGCCGGUGCAGUUCAUUUCUCUAGAAAUUCCAGAUGUUCCACACCAAGUCCCUCCCUAGGUCUAAGGACACAUCCGUCGUCGUCGUCGUUUUGGAGACGACCGAGGUGUACAUUGUGAUUGGCUUGUCGACAAGGAGGGAUACACAGGUGAUUUAUGUCGACCCAACCACGGGAUCCCUGCGCUACGUGGGGAAGCACGGGGAGGACGUUUUCGAUUCUGAGGCUGCGGCAUUGAACUACAUCACUGAUGGAUCAAGGAUUUUAUCCAAGAGCACCACAUAUGCGAAAGCAGCGCUGGGCUAUGCGGUGUUAGGAAGCUACACUAUGCUUUUGGUUGCAACACAGUUGAGUGCAACGGUGCCGAAUCUGCCUGGAGGUGGGUGCAUAUAUACGGUGGCAGAGAGUCAAUGGAUAAAGAUUCCGCUGCAAAACCCUCAAGCCCGGGGCAAUGGAGAGCUGAAGAAUAUCCGCGAAUUGGCUGAUCUUGACAUCGAUGGGAAGUACUACUUUUGUGAGACAAGGGAUGUUACCAGGCCAUUUCCUAGCCGUAUGACUCUGAGGGAACCAGAUGAGGAAUUCGUUUGGAAUGGUUGGCUAUCAAAGCCUUUUAAGGACAUUGGGUUGCCAGGACACUGUGUCAUUCUUUUGCAGGGGUUUGCUGAGUGUCGGAACUUUGGAGGUACAGGGCAGCAAGGUGGGUCAGUUGCCCUUAUUGCGCGCCGUAGUCGGUUGCAUCCUGGAACGCGCUAUUUGGCUCGUGGACUAAAUGCAUGUUCAGGCACAGGCAAUGAGGUAGAGUGUGAGCAACUUGUUUGGGCUCCACUAAAGGGCGGUCAGCAUAUCCCUUUUAGCUCAUAUAUCUGGCGGCGUGGAACUAUACCAAUAUGGUGGGGUGCAGAUUUAAAAAAUGCUGUGUCAGUAGAAGCUGAAAUUUAUGUUGCUGAUGAUCCUUACAACGGGAGCUUACAAUAUUACCAACGGCUGAGUAGAAGAUACGGCAAUAAAUCAUCUGGAGUGAAUGCAGCUCGGCAAAAGAAAUCUGGAAUGGUUCCCAUUGUUUGUGUUAACUUACUAAGAUACGGCGAAGGAAAAACUGAGACAGUUCUAGUUGAUCAUUUCAAAGAAUCUCUACAGUAUAUGAAGUCUACUGGAAAGCUUGGAAACACAUGGAUUCAGUUGAUAAAUUAUGACUGGCAUGCCACUGUAAAGUUAAAAGGGCAGCAACAGACAGUUGAGGGCCUAUGGAGACAUCUUAAAGCACCUACGAUGGCUAUUGGCUUCAGUGAAGGGAAUUACUAUGAUGCAAAGCAGCAGCUUAAGGAAUGUAAAGGAUCUAUUAUCUGUAACGAUGACAUUAAUGGCGGGUUUUGCAUGGAAUCCAUUCAAAAUGGGGUGAUACGUUUCAAUUGUGCGGACUCUCUUGAUCGGACUAAUGCUGCUAGCUACUUUGGGGCACUUCAAGUUUUUGUUGAACAGUGCAGUCGAUUGAGUAUCUCCCUUGACAUAGAUGCCAUGUUUGGGUUAUCAACAAGCAGAUAUUCCGAAUAUAAUGGUCAAAGUGCUCGUUCCUUGCCCCCUGGAUGGGAGGAGCGCUUUGACUCUGUAACAGGGAAAUCAUUCUACAUCGAUCAUAAUACACGAACUACCACCUGGGAACAUCCAUGCCAGGAGGCCCCGCAGAAGCCCUGGAAGAGAUUUGAUAUGACAUUUGAUCAAUUCAAAGGCUCAACAAUGCUUGCUCCGGUGAACCACCUUGCUGAACUUUUUCUUCUGGCUGGUGAUAUCCAUGCCACGUUGUACACUGGCUCAAAAGCUAUGCACAGUGAGAUUCUGAACAUAUUCAAGGAGGAAACUGGAAAAUUUAGUAAGUUCUCAGCUGUUCAGAAUGUGAGGAUUACGGUGCAAAGAAGGUACCACAAUUUUCUGAAUGACAGUUCUCGUCAAAAACAGUUAGAGAUGUUCCUUGGAUUGAGGCUAUAUAAGCAUCUCCCAUCCAUCCCUAUGUUCCCUCUCAAAGUGCUAUCAAGGCCGUCUGGAUGCAUGUUGAAACCAGUUCCUAGUAUCAUUCCAAUGGCUGAUGGCGGUUCCAGUCUUCUCAGCUUCAAAAAGAAGGAUAUUAUUUGGGUUUGUCAGCAAGGUGCAGACUACGUUGAGCUUUUUAUAUACCUUGGGGAACCUUGUCAAGUUUGUCAGCUGCUUCUUACUGUAUCUCACGGUGCUGAAGAUUCAUCAUUUCCAGAAACUGUAGAUGUUAGACUUGGCUCAAGCAUAGAUGCCCUUAAGCUCGUGGUUGAGGGUGCUUGCAUUCCUCAGUGCUUGAAUGGGACAAAUCUAUUGAUCCCCCUCACUGGAAGAAUUGAUCCAGAAGACUUAGCCGUUACAGGGAAAAGCGCUAGGCCUGAUGUUCAAGAGAGCACUUACCUUCCUCUAUUAUAUGACUUUGAAGAGCUGGAAGGAGAACUGAACUUUUUAAAUCGGGUUGUUGCAUUAUCUUUUCAUCCAUCUGCCACGUCGAGAAAACCCAUUACUCUUGGUGAGAUUGAAGUACUUGGAGUUUCUCUUCCAUGGUCAGAUAUUUUAACCAAUAGCAGACGCAGUCCUGAAUUAAUGGAGCUUCUCCAUAAAAAAUUAUCCAGUGUUCACUGUGAUCUAGGUUCAAAGUCUUCUGCAAAUUCUUUCUUGCCUGGGAAUGAUGCUCAUAGUAGUGUAAGAUCUUCUUGUACUAAAAGUUUGCCAUCAGUUCAAUCAGGCGGUUCAGGAAAUUUUGUGGAUUUUCUCACUGGUGAUUUUGACAUAUCAAAGUCAAAUAUAACCGACAAUAUGUCUUUUGGUAAUGAGGAAGAGGAACAAACAACCUUCUUAGAUGAUGGAUUUGAUGUUAACCCUUUUGCCCCUGCAUUGGAAGUGCCUGUUGCUAAAGUGAAUAACCAGGUUGAAGAAAGUGGCUGCACACAUCUCUAUCUUAAAUUUUUUGAAUCACUUUCUGGAAAUAAUAAGGGAAAAGGUCUUAACUUUGAGCAAAUGAUGAAGCUUGAAAUAAAACGUCUCCAUCUUGAUCUUUCUGCCGCUGAAAGGGACCGGGCAUUGUUAUCAAUUGGUGUAAUUCCUGCCACUGUAGAUCCAAACCGUUCAAUUGAUUAUUCUUAUCUGUUGAAGUUGUCCAGCUUUGCUGAUAAUCUAGCACUGCUGGGCCAUGCUGUCCUUGAGGAUCGUCUUAAUGCUUCAAUAGGGCUCGAAAAGGUCAAUGACCAAACUAUAGACUUUUGGAAUGUCAGUGAAAAUGAUGAAUCCUGCUAUGGUGGGGCAUGUGAAGUCCGUGCUUUGUCUUCAUUACAAGCUUCAGCCACUAGUGAAAAUCAAUCAGUAUUUGUGGAAUGUUCCCAGUGUGAAAGGGCAGUUUGCAAAGCUUGCUGUGCUGGGAAAGGGGCCUUCCUUUUGCUUAACACUUACAGAGAUCUGAAGCUAUAUGGUGGGAGUCAAGGUGGUGGCUAUUCAGCACUCGCAGAUUGUUUUGUGUGCAAAUCAUGCUGCAGUGAAAUGAUCAAACAUGCCCUGUAUGUGGAUUAUGUCCGGGUUCUUCAUAGCUUGCGGAGAAAAGAUCGUACAGAGAAAGCAGCACUGAAUGCUGUGAAUCAGGUCUGCCGAUUUGAAUCCAGCAGAAUAUCUGAUUUAUCACAAAGUAUUCAAUCUGGUCAGAGGCAAUUGAAGCACAUCCUUGAUGGUGAAGAAUCCCUUGCAGAAUUUCCAUAUGCAAGCUUUUUACAUACGGUCCAAACUGACGAUGACUCUGAACCACCGCUUUCAUUACUGGCACCACUUGGUAAUGGGGACAACAAGUCUUACUGGAAAGCUCCACAGGACAACACAUCUAUGGAGUUCUCGAUUGUUCUUGGUGGUUUAUCAGAUGUUGCAGGAGUUGCCGUAAUUGUCAGUUCUUGCGGUUAUUCAACAUCUGACUGCCCAAUUGUGGAGAUAUGGGCUAGUAAUAAAAUACAGCGAGAAGAUCGUACAUUCAUAGGAAAAUGGGAUGUACAAGAUAUAAUAUCUUCAUCUCCACAGCUUUUUGGACCAGAAAAAUCAAGUAGCUUGAGUGAAGCACCAAGACACAUUAAAUUUCAGUUCUCAAAUCCUAUCCGUUGUCGUAUAAUUUCAAUAAAAAUGACACUUCCUCUUAUUGGUUCUCGUUCAACCAAGUUUACUGAAGAAUUUGAUCUUCUGUCAUUGGAUGAUAGCUCAUUUUAUGAAUCAAAGCCAACAAAUCCACAGAAUUCAUUUAUCCAUGCAAAAAGAAUUGUCGUUUUUGGCAACUCUUUGAGAAAGGACAUGAGUCCUGAUACAUCUAUGGGAAUAAUGAGAAUGAAAAGUUAUUUAGACAGAUCACCACCCUUGGGCAGAUUUAGGAUUCCAGUUGAAGCUGAGAGGCUCACAGAUAAUGAUCUGGUUCUUGAGCAAUAUCUCUUACCUAAUACACCUGCAAUAGCUGGAUUUCGCCUUGAUUUUUUCAGUGUUAUAAGACCUUGCGUGACUCAUUCACCUUCCUCAUCAGAAUUGGACAUGAGGGAGUUUUCAUUGGCACACAUGGAAGAUAGAUUUGUAAAUCCAGCAAUUCUUUACAUGCAAGUUACAGUUGUUAAGGAGUCUGGCAAGCUGGUUGUGGAGGAAUACCGUUUACCAGAAGUAAAGGCAAAUACACCACUAUAUUUUGAUUUUCCAGAUUUACAACAAGAUGCCCGUUGUGUUAUCUUUAGAUUGCUUGGGGAUGUCACUGCCUUUGUUGAUGACAUUUCUGAACUUGACGGCUUAAACUUGCGAAAUCUUCCUUUGGCAUCUGGACUGUCUUUGUCAAAUAAGAUCAAGUUGUACUACUACGCUGAUACAUAUGAGAUGGGAAAGAUUGGCAGUCUCUCAGCAGUAUAAUAUACCUGAGUCCAUACUGGCUUACCCAAACGAGGCCUUAUAAGGGUUUUAAAAGACCUCUGGUUUCUAACCAAACGGGGCUUCUCGAUUAUGCCUCACCAUAAAACUUCUGCUCUGUCCCUGGUGAAGCUUAUCUGAAUGAGAAGGUCAAGUAUGAAACUAUGAAUAGGUCGUACAUGCCAACAUGGUAUAUUCACGGUUGGCAGAUUGUUGUUGUAAACUACUUUAUCUUCGUGUUGACGCGGGAGUCACGGCUGCUGCACACAAUAGACUUUUUGGAAUGUUGUUUUGUUUCUGCUGUCAUCAUCCAAUGAUCCAUUUCGAGUGCUCAAGCGAUUUUUCCUGUAGGAUUUCUGGAAAUUCAUUUUUUAUGUAGAAUAUCUGGAAAUUCAAUACGAUUGGAGUUUCGGAACUGCCAGGUACAUUUAUCAAUACCUGUGUACGAGACCUGUAUAGGGCUAAGAACUCAGUUUGUAUGUUCUUUUUUCUUCAUGCAUAUUUUGAGCACUGAACUUUACCAAUUUAUUUGUACGAUACACAACAAUGCUGCGGUUGUCACGCUCCUGACUUGAGUCGGAAAGGUUAUGGGCAUUGUGUUGAAGCUACUCGCUCAUUAAUUUUC